rnacentral:tRNA from 1 species
UCCCACAUAGCUUAGUUGGUAAAGAAUCCGCCUGCAAUGCAGGAGACCCUGGUUCAAUUCCUGGGUUAGGAC